CAGCCGCCGCGGUAAUACGAAGGGUGCAAGCGUUACUCGGAAUUACUGGGCGUAAAUCGUGCGUAGGUGGUUGUUUAAGUCUGCUGUGAAAGCCCUGGGCUCAACCUGGGAAUUGCAGUGGAUACUGGGCGACUAGAGUAAGGUAGAGGAUAGUGGAAUUUCCGGUGUAGCAGUGAAAUGCGUAGAGAUCGGAAGGAACAUCUGUGGCGAAGGCGACUAUCUGGGCCAUUACUGACACUGAGGCACGAAAGCGUGGGGAGCAAACAGGAUUAGAUACCCGCGUAGUCCCUGUCUCUUAUAC
rnacentral:rRNA from 1 species